UCCGUCUUUUUUCUUCUUCUCUUCUCCGAUUCGUCUUGUUCUUCCUCUUUACUCUAGUGUGACCUCCCUACGAGUAAAAUUAACCAUAGGAAAAACCCUAGAAAUCAGAAGCAAAUCAUCUUCACGAAAAGAGAAGAAGGUUAUCACAGUAAGAAAAAUGCUUGGGAAGCUACGUUGAUAGAAAUCGUGGAGCUGAUUGAUUUCGCCAUUUUUUUUCAAGAUUUAGUUAGAUUUCAAUUUCUUUUGUUGUAUCGCAGAGUUCUCCAAAUGGAAAGGAGAUUUUAAGAUUUUUUUUCUCGUUUUUGUUAGAUCUAGUUUCAAUUCGGAUGCUAACAUUUAAUAUAUUUUUUCCAUUAUUUUAGUCCGCAGCAGGAGAAAGUCCGGAUUUGAGACUAGAUGUGGGUUUAGCGCCUUCAAAUAAUGGCACAGAGAUACUUUCUCAAGAUGCACAGGGGAAGUUAGUUAGCAAUGGCAAGGUAAUCUCAAUUUCAAUAGUUAAAUAUUUUAUGAUUCUUUACGUUACAUGAAUUGUGGAUGAAACUCCACAAUCUUUUUACAUCUUUGAGUUGAGUGGUCUUUUGUAUAAGUACUAAAAUGUCAAUGAUCAAAACUCAACCAAGGUUGAUGACAAACAAAGACAAGGACAGAACUGAGAAGUUGAUCAUCAUAUGUAUUGUGUGUCUUGACAUAAUAAAUUAAGAAACUAAUUACAUAUUUUCUUAAAUAAUUAGCUCAAUGUGUGGAAUUAUCAUGCACCAUGGAUGUCUUGUCAUUCUGAAUGAGAUUAGGAUGGCCAUGGCAUUUUGCUGCUGGAUGUAUGUGAGUAUAGUACUAACAACUUGACUAUGUGAAAACCACAAUAUGAUAAAAGUGAAAAUUACAAGAGCUGGCAUUUUGCUGGUGGACAUGUAUUUUCUUAAAAUAACCUUAAGAAUUUGCUUGCAAGAGCUGUAAGCACAAGUUUUGGUUCGGUAUGUCUCUAAAUCAACAUGUUUGGUUUGGUAUCUCUCUACAAGUGGUUUCAAGCACUCAUAAAUAAACAUGACCAUCAUUAAAGUAAUAUUAUUAUUAAUAUUGUGGGGAAGCCAAAAUAAAUCCAGAAAGACUUGGUGAUGUCAUGGUAUUGCAGACUAUUGAGCUGAAUUGCAGGUGGAAUCUGGUGUUUUGAGCACAAGUUGAAGCGGAUGGAGAAUGAGUUUUGUUGCUGCAGUAAAUGGAGAUGACAAUACUCAUGGAGAAUGGUAAUGUCGAGGAGAUGCUGUGCUAAUAUUCAGCUGUUGUUGCUAUGGAUUAUGGUGUAUGUUGAUUAUUUACGUAUUGAUUGAGCGAGAACAAAUAGCUUCUUCUCAUAUUUUUCAAGUGUGUCUCGAUGCUGCCCUUUAUCAUUCUCGGUAUUGUUGAAUUCUUUUAUGCAGCUAAGAAAAUGGUUGCAUAGUCUAUUAUGCAUCUACAAAA